AUGGAAACACACAUGCGCUGUACACCAUGUCACCAUUCGCCUCCACCGCACGCAGCAGCGGAGGCGGGGACUCCUAGGCCUACGGGAUCGAUGCUACCACCUGGCGAACCCCUUCUUGCCGGCGGCGGCCACGGCGGCGGCGCGCUCGAACUUGGCGGCGGCGCAGGGGAUGGUGAUGCCGCCGGGGUGCUGGAAGCCGAACGCCUCCUCGGCCUCCCGCAGCAGCUCCCCGAACAUGGGGUGGUUGAAGUACACCACGGGCACCACGUACCGCAGCGGCUCCCCGGGCCCGCCGCCGCCGACGUACACCGCCACCUGCCCCUUGGGGGUCUUCACCGCCUCGAGCGUCUGCUGCCCGCGGUCCGCCCGGCCGAGGCUGAGGAGCCGCGCCAGCGACUUGCCCCACCGCAGCACCGGUGCCAGCUUCUUGGCCUCCCUGCCCUCCAUCGGGCACGGCGUGUCGAGGCGGAGGUAGCCACCGCCGCCCCGGCGCCGGUUCCGGCCGCAGAGCGCCCACCGCCAUGCGGUCAGCAGCUUCCGGCCGAGCCGGAACCCGCCGCGCAGCCUCCUUGUCCUCGGCAUGGCGAGACCGAGAUCUCAACGAACCGCCCGCGCUCCCUUUGUCCUCCUUUCCUGGACGAGCGAGCGAGGGGCUCUCGCCUUAAUGAAUGGGAGGAGACGGAAGGAACUGGUAACGGAAGUCGGAGGGAGUGUGAUUAG
rnacentral:rRNA from 1 species